rnacentral:tRNA from 1 species
GCCUGGGUGGCUCAGUCGGUUGAGCGUCCGACUUCAGCUCAGGUCACGAUCUCAUGGUCCGUGGGUUCGAGCCCCGUGUCAGGCU